AAGUAUGAGGUGAUUAAUUGGAGGGCAAAUCAAGUGCCAGCAGCCGCGGUAAUACUUGUUCCAAGAGUGUGUAUGAUGAUUGAUGCAGUUAAAAAGUCCGUAGUUUAUUUUUUUAAAAAUUAGGGUAUGUAUGGGAAAGAGAAGGGCACAA
rnacentral:rRNA from 1 species